GACCUCCCAUCCGCUCAUCUUUUUACACGUUUACCUUUGAUUCUUUCUUUGCUUAUUUGCAGGCUCUUUGCCAGGCGCUGGGAGAUCAGGAGUGAUUCACGCGCCCUGCCCACAGCGGUCUUGCAGUCUAGUGCUCAAGAUACUCUUGUCCACAACCAGCUGUGAUACAAAGUAAAUACAGCCAGUGCUCCAAUCAAGUGCGGUGGGAGGGUCAUAGUCACCACAAAAUGAUGAAAAUUACUUUUAAUUCAGCGCCUACUAUAUGUCCAUUAUCCCACAAGGGAAGAAGGCUUGGACUGCACUUCUCACUCCCAACCCACCUCCACGUUGAUCUGUCUUCCUGACCCAGCACCUGCAGAGCUAACUCUAACCCACUGGUGCACCACCUGCAAGCUACACCAGCCUCCGUUGAGACCAUUCAUUUACAGCACAUGCCCAGGCAGCCUGACAAAGGACAGCGGUGACCCCCUACCAAGGACACGUGCUGGACAAGCAGAGAAAACUGUACUGGAUAGACAAACCGCCCUCUUGAUUGGAAGGACAUCUCCAACCUUUAACCACUGGCUGUAUUUAUUUAGGAUACAAGAGACUAAACAGACAUUUGUUUCCCUGGAUUGUCCUGUUUCAUCUGAGUCCCAGUUGGAGACAAAAGUGUGAUUCCCUCUGAUUGAUCACUGACAACCCCACUCCUUUUCUGAUGAAGCUUCCAAGGGAUACUUUUGCUUUAUCUUCAAAAGGCCUACUGCCCUGGAGCAUGCUGUUCUGGUGUCACACACAGUUUUCUAGCUUUUUAGUUUCUACCUGCUUUUGGGAUGGAUUUCAUUUCCCACAUUUCUGACUGGGGGAAAACUUCUACAAAAAGCAGAGGCUUAAAAAAAAAAAAGGCAGAGGCUCCUGACUCAGAUCCAAAGAGCUGUCAGUGAAAAGAGAAGAUGGAACUGUAGACAGAAAUAACCCACUGAUGAAGCAAUUGUAUGUGUGGGCAAGGGGAGAGAAAGUUCUGAGAUUCUAUGAGAAUCAGUAAGCACAGAAAACUGGGCAAUCGUUUAGGAUAGCCUAAUGAAAACUUAAGCAAUGAGGAUGUGCCCCUCCAACAGUACACGGGUGCAAGUUAUCCAAACCUCAAUGUCCUUAUUUCUUCAUAUGGCUUUGGUUUUCUCCUCUAGCCCUCUGGUGAAGAGUUCCUGAGUCCAGGAAUGGGUGCAACAGUGGUGGGUUUGGAGUAAGCGUGGUUCCACUCCUUGACCACUGGAUGGGUAUCGGCCCAUGCCUCUCCUGGGGAUGAUAGGACAGCGAGUGCACCAAGUGGCGAAAUGUCAGGUGCAGGCGGUGGCUGGCAGUUGCUGCACUCAAGAGUUAUUGCUUCCUGAUGAGGCCCAGAGAUUCGACUGAGGUAAUUCCAAAGCCCUCCACUUUUCAUAGAGGGGGUCUAACAUUUCAGCAUUAGGUAUGCGCAGGUGCUAUUAGUGAGGGAGGAAAAAAAAAUGUGUUGUACUGGAGUGGCCUGAGACUUGGUGUCAAUCUUUCUUAAAUCUUGGUGGCCCAAACCUGAAUACGCUGCUAUUCUAAAGCACCUUGCAGUUUUCCCAUUUAUGUUUUGAACAGAGAGUGCUCUUUUGUCUCCGAAAAUCCCUUUGCAAUGCUUGAGUGUUCCUUUUGGUUCAGUGAAGGCAAAGGCCAUUUUUUAUAGUGGAAUGGACACAUGGGACACAGCUCAAGUGCUGUGCAUAAUAAUGCCAUGGUAGACUAUUUUUUAAGUUAACUGGGAGUCCAGCCUGAAAUAGGUUGGAGUAGAGGUGGAGAGAAAAUUCUCUUCUGUUGGUGGCUUGUAAAAGAGUGGAGAGAUGACCUUGAGGGGAGUAAAGUCCUUCUGGGAGGCAAUGAGCAAUGGACUACGGAUGAUAAUAGCCACUUCUAAAUCUUCUGGUCUUUGCUUUCCAAAUUACCCAGAGAGGGGCCACACAGUGGUCUUGUUCUACAUUCCCAUCAUAGCUUAAAGCAAACUUUCACAAUGUUCAGAGCCCAUCAUGGCCUGCAAAUGAAGGAGGAUGUCCUCGAAUUCCUUGCAGCAGGAACCCACUUAAGUGGCACUAACCUUGACUUCCAAAUGGAACAGUACACCUACAAAAGGAAAAGUGGUGGGAUCUACAUCAUAAAUCUGAAGAGAACCUGAGAGAAGCUUCUGCUGGCAGUUUGUGCCAUUGGAGCCUUGAAAACCCAGCUGAUGUCAAUGUCAUAUCAUCUGGGAAUACUGGCCAGAGAGCUGUGCUGAAGUUUGCUGCUGCUACUGGAGCCACUCCCUGACGCUGGCUGCUUCACCCCUGGAAACUUCACUAAGUAGAUCCAGGCAGCCUUCCUGGAACCGAGACUUCUGGUGGUUACAGAUCCCAGGGCUGACCACUAGCCUCUCACAGAGGCAUCUUAUGUUAACCUGCCUACCAUCGCUCAUGUAACACAAACUCUCCUAUGUGCUAUAUAGACAUUGCUAUCGCUUACAACAAGAGAGCUCACUCAGUGGGUCUGAUGUGGUGGAUGCUGGCCUGGGAAGUUCUGCACAUCUGUGGCACCAUCAGGUCCUACCUGUCUCUUCUUCUACAGAGAUCUUGAAGAGAUUGAAAAGGAAGAGCAGCUUCCUGAGUUCACUGCUACUCAACCUGAAGUUGCAGACUGAACUGAAGGUGUGCAGGUGCCCUCUAUGCCUAUUCAGCAGUCCUCUACUGAAGACUGGAGUGCUCAGCCUGCCAGUGAAGACUGUUCUGCAGCUCCCACUGCUUAGACCACUGAAUGGAUAGGAACAACACCGAGUGGUCUUAAGCUGCUUUUCUACAACGGCAAACAAAAUGGAAUAGGGUUGAUGGAAAUGAAACAGUUUCUUAAAAAAAAAAAAACCACAAAACUUCUAGUCUUUCUAUUCUCAAACUUUCAUUAACAGUCUGGUGUUGGGGUGCCUGGGUGGCUCAGUCGGUUGAGCGUCCGACUUCGACUCAGGUCAUGAUCUCACAGCUCGCGGGUUCGAGCCCCGCGUCGGGCUCUGUGCUGAUGGCUUGGAGCCUGGGGCCUGCUUCGCAUUCUGUGUCUCCCUCUCUUUCUGCUCCUAACCCACUCACAUUCUGUCUGUGUCUCUCUCAAGAAAUAAAUAAACAUUUAAAAAAAUUAAAAAAAAAAA